GGUAGAAUUGCUGGAUCAUAUGGUAUAUUUAACUUUACAACGAACUGCUCAAUUGUUUUUCAAAGUAGUUGUACCAUUUUGCAUUCCCAUCAGCAAU
rnacentral:pre_miRNA from 1 species